UUAUUUUGGUCGUAAAUGUGUGGUUUUUGGUCCGGUUUGUUUGUUCUAAUACGAUUGUUGUUAGGUUUGAUUUGGAUAAAACUAUGCGUUUUGUCAUACAUCCAAAAUUAGGGCUCCAUCCUUUUCUUUCUUCCUGACAGAAUUCGAUCCGCCAUAUCUCUUUUCACUUCUGAAAAACUUUUGUUUCUCUUCUCAUCUCUGAACUCGAUCUCCCCGUUAUCUCUUCACCUCCCAUUAGGUUUGAUAUAUAGGUUUUAAUUCGUGAAUCAUUGAUAAUCACAUUAGAGACAGUCACGAUGUCGACGCCUCCGUUACCUUCACGCAAACUCUAUAUAUAUCAACGGCUUAGGGGGAUGAUUGACCCUUGGAACCACUGUCAAUUUAUUAUUUUAUAAAGCGUUGAAAGUCACUCAGAGAUGGCUUACUCCGAUGUUGUUCUUGCGCACUCCCCCUUGACGCUCUCCGCCUCCGUAGAUCUGCCCAGAUCAUGUUGGUCAUCUCCUCCGUUUUUGGACUCGAAAAAUCAAGAAGCAAGGUGAAUUCAUGGAAUCACUCUGCUCCUCUUUCAUGAGAAGAAUUUGGUUGUUGAUAUUUUUGAGGUUGUAAGAGUCUCACGAUUUGAGAUGUUGUUGGGCAAAUUCAAUCUGUCUAAGAUUCGGACCUGAAUGACGCUACAGUUACGAGCCGAGUUGUUGUUUGUUUCACCGAGGGUUGUCGUCUACCUUUCUUUGUGUGAUGAUGAAGCAGCAAUGUUUAGGGGUCUCAUUAACUCAGGUGAUAGGUCACAGUCAGUCAUGGUGGUUACUACUGUGAAUCCCAAAAUCUUCGGAGGUACCCUAUACUUCACGACAGCAACAAAAUUGUAUUUUUAUCCAGCCCUUCAAGCCAUUGCAGAGUUCACAGCCAGGUACAACUCAUUAUGUUUUAACUUUUACGGUUGAGCUAAUAUUCAGUUUUGUGGUUGCUUAAACCAAUGAAGUUCUAACUUUCAAGACCAAUGAAGUUGAAUUUUCUGAGGUAGAAUGUGGGGGGAGGCGUCUAGAACUGCCAGGAACAAGGUUAGAGGUGAAUACAAGGAACCAAGUCCAACUACCUUGGGAGGCAAAAAGAAUAUCCUCAAGCGCCCCUGUGAGUGAAGUUAAAAAAACUCUCCCACCGUCAAGCUAACUCUGUUAUUGUUUCAUUAACAUUUAUCUAACGUAUUAUGCAUUUCCUAUUUUAGACUUUACAGUUAUUUUUCUAUUUGAAUGGUUUUGUUUUAUUUAUAGACUUCUGUUUUUUAUCUUUAAAGAAAAAGGGUGGACGUUA